UGUUCUGAUAGCAGUAGCAUCGUGCCUUCUGCUGAUGUUAGCACUGUGUGCUGCUUUUAGCUCCUUGAGGUUCAGAACCGUACUGAGUGUUUUGAAUAAUAUUAUUACAGAAACAGUUUUGCAUUGUUUUUGCUGUUUUUGUCUUGUUUCUGCAUCCCUAGAUAAUUGUUAUAAAACCACAAAAAUGGCCAAAACAGGUGAAAGUGGAGCGUUCUUUGACCUGGAGGGGUCGGGGUGUGAAGUACCUCAGUAGCAUUUAAAGAGACGGCACCAAAACGAGAGACACACCUCAGAACAGGUAAAAGAAGAGCCUGUGGAGCGUCAAGAACAAGGAGCACAGACCAAAGCAUUGCUGUUCCACUUUAUAUAGACCACAACUGAGGGAUUUAAGGGUGAAAAGGAAGGAUCUAAAAGCAUGAUAUGUCCCCUCUAAGAGUUUAUUCAGAAAGUAAAACUAAAAACGUGUGAACACGGAUCAGUUUAAGUGGAACAUGAUAACUUCCUCCUGAUGACUGAGUCCAAAAUGUAUCAACACAGUAAACCUGAGGAGGCUUAGAGAAAUAACCCAGAGAUUUAUUUAACUUCUUAUAUCCAACUCAUAGUUUUUAUUUUUGUGUAUUUUAAAUUUGCUGUGAUGCUGUGAAGCAGAGCUUUGCUGAUAAGAAGCGGGAUUGCUCAGAUAGUUCCAGUUGUUUUGUUGACCUUCAUCUUCAUGCAGGUGACACCUUCAUGCCUGGUUUCUCAACGUGAUUACACACUGAGUUUUUCCCACCUAGACCUCAUCUGCAUAGCAUAAACACCCUGACAUAUGAUGAACGUUUUAGACUCUUAUUAAUUCAAAGAUCACAUUUCCAGCUCGGUCAUACUUCAUGAUCUCUGAUGAUGGAGACAGCUUCUAGCUGACUUCCUGCUGUCUUUUACGCCUGUAACUGUCUCACUAAUGUGAAAAAUGUUCAUCCACAGCAUUUCUUCAUCAUCAGUCAGGCUCGAUGGUCUCCUCCAUUCCUCGUUAAUACUGGUGCAUUUUCCACAUAAAUAGUUAUAAAACUCUGAUUUAUUAUUAGUUAAUUUACAGAAAGUGCAGCUCUUUAAAUACGUCCUGGCCCGGUGCCAUUUUGUGACCCUUUGUGGAGACGUUCUUGUGUAAAAUCUGGAUACGAUGUUUAGACCUUGACACCUUUAUGUGCACAAAAGACUGACCACUGAAAAGACAUGAAAUAGUCUCCCAAACAGACGCUUUGUUUUUCAGUUUCUGUGUUUUUAUCCAGAGGUAAAGAUGAGUUCAUAAAAUCUCCUGUUCAUCAGGAGCAUCCAGCCACAGCAGCAGCGGCUCAAAGAAGCUGUAAUCCUGCCCUCCUCUGAAAGCUGAAUGUUUGAACCAUCUCCUGAGGUCUUUGUGGGAAAUACGAGGCUGAGACGGCGUGGACAGAUGAGGACAUGCAACCGCUCUUAGGCUCUGUGUGCAAUUAAAGCCUGGAACAGAGAAGCUCUCAGCGCGCUUCAGUGGAGCUAAUCAGGGGGGGAGGUGACGGGUCCCAGGAACCGGCUGUGACAGGUAUGAGGAGGACAUGCUCACUGAGGCCUGCAGAGAUGGAGCUCCUGGGUGUUUUUGUCAUUUCUCUGAGCAUUUCAUCAUCAUUGUUGUGACCUUGGGCUGAAUCUGCUGGGACAUCCACUCCCUGAAAGACAUUAUGGACUUCAUAUGGUUUGGAAAUGUCCUCAUAACCCUUCCAAUGCUGAUGUAUAGCAAUACAUUCUUCUCUAAUGUAAUGGCUGAUGCCUUGUCAUCUUAGUUUUGUGCUAAAACACACCUUGCUUUUAUAAUCACAUUUUUUCUUGUCUUGUACUUCACUUAUCAUGUUUGGGUAGUUAGGUUUCUUGCACUUAGAGCUGUCUUUGGUUUGUUAUUAGUUGCUUCCUGUUUUAUUUUGGUUAGUCUGGCCCUUCCUGUUUAUGUUCUCUUCACUUCCUGUUUUUUUUUUUUUUUUACCGUUCCCCAGUCUGCUGUUGGUUUUGAGUCUGUUUGUUAGUUUUUGGUCUGUGUUCAUUUCCUGUUUAGUCCCAUUCAUUCUCUGUUUCCUGCAGUCUCUGGUUGCAUUCUCAGCUGCUUCCACUCAUCGGUUCUCCUCAGUAAAUAGUCUCCUUUGGUUCUUUUGUUUUUGGAUUUAUUUAAUUUCAGGAUCUUCAGUUCACGUUUUAGGAUUUUUGGACUUUAGACUUUGUUUUUGUAAGCAUCUCUUUUGUAUUAUUAAACAUAUUUAUUUUUUGCUCCA